AUCGCCUGGAUCGUAUGGACCCGCGCCUUAACUGGCAUCGCUGGAUCAGUAUGGAACCUGCGCCUUAACUGGCAUUGCCUCGAUCAGUAUGGAACCUGCGCCUUAACUGGCAUCGCCUAAGUCAUUGUGGACCCCGCGCCUUAACUGGCAUCGCCUGGAUCAGUGUGGAACCUGCGCCUCAACUGGCAUCGCCUGGAUCAAUGGGGAUCAAGCGCCCUAAUAACCAGCACCGCCUUGUACUAUGAUGAACCUGCGCCUUAACCGUCAUCACCUUGAGAAAUAGGGAGAUUGAGAUUGAGCGCUGGCAUGUAGCAACAUGGCAACUUUGCCUUUCGUCAUCUUUUCUGGAAAGGUUUUCCGAGCUGAUACACAGCGCAAUGAUUGAAUUGGCAUAUACCGGUUUUGACCAAAAAGUAGGCAAAAUAAUCAUCCGUUUCACAGAAGAAAUGGACUUGCAUUCAUUGAGGCAGGUUUUAUUCGACCGACCUUUUGAUAAAGCUGGGAAUCGCUGGAAAGGAGUGGUAGAGUCCUUAUGAUGUAUUGAUAAAUUUUCAACAUUGGAAGUUCGGAGUUGCCGACAGAGAACCAAUCUUUUGGUGGAACAAUUUAAACGCACCCAGAAUAUGAGGGAAGAAAAUUUAGAUCGGGUGAAGAAGAAGAGGAACUUACAGAAAAGGAUAAUCUACUGUUAAAAAAAAAGAAAUUGAAGAAAGCACAGAAAACGAAGAGAGGGCGGGAAAAAGUCAAAAAUAAAAAAUGAAGAGGAGCAGAGGCAACGUGCUGUAGAAACGUGCUGCAGCAAGGUAGUCACCAAAAUUAAAACAAACUAAGGCUGUUGCUGGCCCUUCUUAAUCCAGCAACGAAGCUGAAGAUGCUGUGCUCUCUUCAAAAAAUAAAAAGCCAAAUGAUCUUCUGGUGGAACUUCUCAUCAAAAGACAAAGAAAAAAGCCAAAUGAACUUCUGAUGGAAGUUGUCUUCAGAAGACAAACAAAAAUAAAAAAUAAAAAAAUAAGAAAGUCUAGUAAAACUGGAGCUGAGAAGACAAGAGCUGAAAGUGGAGUGGAAAAUUUUUGAAUCAUCUAGGGCUGAGCAGAAUUCUCUUCUUUGGACGAUACAAAAGAUUUAGCAAAAAUUACUUUAAAACUUUAGGUUUUUUUUGUGUUAUUCAUUAAAAUGCAUAUAAAUAAACUGAUGUCCUGACUUUUUAAAUUUCCUGUUGACAACUUCAGGUGUGAAAAGCAAAUGUCAUAGUUAGUCUGGUGUGUAAUUCAGGGGUUCUUUUUAUCUUUCAACAGUAUUGACUUCAAAAACGCCAUCCUUUAGAUGUGCCUUACGUUGUGCGUCUUUACAGAAAUUAAUAAUGUGUAUUCAUAUAACUUAUUCAAUCACAUGCUUUCUGUCUUACAAAUCCAAACCAAAUAGAGAAAAAUAUAAACAUACAGAAAUA